UAAAAAAGAAAGAGAAGAGAGAGGUGUUUGAGAGAGAAAAGAGUGGCUCUAUGGCUAACACCGCAGGUACUAGAGGAGGGAUCCAAAGGGAUCGCAUUGAUCCUUUAUUUUUCUUUUUAAAAAAAAUUUACCCUAAUUUUGGAUCAUGCUAUCCCUUUGGAUUCCUCCUUUGGUUGCUUCAAAUAUAUAUAUGAAAAAUGAUUCUCUCUUUCCUUUGGAUCAAGCUAUCACAUCACUCCACCGCAAAAACUCAUCGGAAAAUAUCCUGCCGGCUGCCGCCGAUGACUUUAACAUCCUCCAAAUCGAGUUCUUAACUAAAGAUGAGCAAAACUCUCAAAAAUAGAAUUUGAUUCCAGAACAGUUGUUGAUGGGGAUGCAUGCAAGCAUAAUGACUUCGUAUGAAAAAGUUACAUCCUCAAUGGCUUGGAAAGUAAACUUUAUGAUGUUUAUAGGUUCAUUAAUAGUUCAAAUACACUAUGGCAAGCUUUGGAUUGAAAGUGCAAAGUCAAAGAUGUGAGCUUGAAAAAAAUUCAUAGUAAAAAUAAAUUCUUGGUUUCAAGAUGUUUGAUUCAAAGUAUGUGAUAAACCAAGUUGAAGAAUUUCAACUAAUCUUGCAUGAAAUUCUUGUUGAAGGUAUGGUUUCAUGUAAAUUUUUCCAAGUGGCUACAAUUAUUGAAAAUUUUUCUUCUUGGAA